rnacentral:tRNA from 1 species
GGCCGGCUGGCGCAAUGGUAGCGCAUCAGACUUCUAUCUUCUCUUCACUCAAGAGUUGUAGUUAUCUGGGGGUUGUGGGUUCGAGCCCCACGUUGGUCA